UUAAGUUCAGCGGGUAUUCCUACCUGAUCCGAGGUCAACCUUCAGAAGUUGGGGGUUUAACGGCGUGGCCGCGCUUUGUCCCGUUGCGAGGUUAGAUUACUACGCAGAGGAGUACAGCGUGACCGCCACUAGAUUUCGGAGACGGCCCCCGGUGAGGGAGGCCGAUCCCCAACGCCGACCCCCCGGAGGGGUUCGAGGGU
rnacentral:misc_RNA from 1 species